rnacentral:lncRNA from 1 species
GCACUUGGGAAUCUUAGACCCAGGAUCUUCAAACCCAACCACCACACUGUAAGAACACCUGCAGGGAUGUAGGUCGACAUUUCACAUCACAGCUUUGGUGGGGCUCCUAGUGAGCACUCGAAAUCAAUGAAAACGAGAGCAAGAAUGAUUCAACGUGCUUCCAGCACCGGCUAUGAAAGAAAGCUCGAGAGAGAUUGCCCAGCUAGAUGAAGGACACCAGAAUCUGAGAAGCUGAUGCAACAUGACCAGCCCCCUCAGAUUCCUGCUGCUGCGGCUUCACUGCUAUAAUGGACUGUAACCUGGAACUGUGAGUUAACAUCCAACUGUUCAUAUUGGGACCUUCCUGAACAAGGCAACCUGUAAACAACUGCACAGUGAUCAUCCUGCUGCCACCUUCUACCUUCAGUUCUGAAAUUAAAAAGCUGUAAAAUGAAUAUCCAGAAAGGCACAGAAUCUAAGACACGGCUCCUUUCAAUUAAGGGUAGCCUGGGACUUUAAAAAAUGUGAUCCAUCAUAACACAGCCCAAGAAGAGCUGAGCGCUUUCUCCUCCUUGCCUCUGUCUGUGAGUGUGUGCAUACGACGCUCCUGAUGAGGAAGGCUAAGAACUUGGAAGCCUGUUGGCUUAUGCAGUAGACCCAUCUGUGCGGGGCUUGUCUUUCUCAGUGACCUUGGAUCCUGAGAUGAUAAGGUCAAGUAAGGAAGAAAAACCAAAGUUCUCC